rnacentral:siRNA from 1 species
GGAUCGCAUGGCCUCUGUGCU